UGAACAAAAACCUCUGUCCUGAUAUCUGAAAAAUGGAUUGUUUUUUUUCAUUUCUUCUACCCAAGAAAACAAACCAUCGUUUCAUCUCCAUUUUCUAUUCGAUCAACCUUAGAGCCGUAAUUUACUUCGUGAGUUUUGACUCUUUUUGAUUAAAUUCACUACUUCUUCUUUCCAGAAAAUAUUUUUGGGAAAAUUAAAUUCACUACUUCUUUCCACAAAAUCUUUUUGAGAAAACUGUUAAAUCCGAAAAGGGGAGAAACUGCAAUUAGUCGAAGGAAUUCGGUGUGCUUAUGGGGUUGAUAAAAUUCUCAAUCAAUUCAAUUUUGACCCAUGAGUUUUUCGAACCGAUUAAUCAAUUCAAUUAGGUUGGUAAGUUGAUUUUGAUUUUGAAUUGCUUUUAUUUAUAGGGAUAUUGUUUAGGGAAACCGAUUAAUCAGUUUCUUCGAUCAAAGAAAACAUCUUUCAUCGUUUCCUCUUUAUCUUUCAUUCGGUCAACCAAAGAUCCCAAAUCUACCAGUCUUCCAAAUCUUUUUCAUAGAGCUGUUAAAUCCGACAUGUUUACACAACCAAUUACUCUAAAGCAAUUCGGUGGGUUUAUGGGGUUGAUAAAAGUGUCAAUCUGAUUGAUUCAGUUUCGCCCACAUACUUUCCCGAAUCAAUUAAUCAAUUCAAUUGGAUUGUAUAUGUUGAUGAAUAUACAAUCAAACCGAAGGAUAUAUAUGAAGACAUCAUAGUAUCCGAAAUCAAAUGAGAUGUACUUUCCUGCAGUCCAAUAUAUUACAAUAGAGUCUAUGUUUGGAAGGGAGA